GUAGGGUGCAAGCGUUAAUCGGAAUUACUGGGCGUAAAGCGUGCGCAGGCGGUUUUGUAAGACAGUGGUGAAAUCCCCGGGCUCAACCUGGGAACUGCCAUUGUGACUGCAAGGCUAGAGUACGGCAGAGGGGGAUGGAAUUCCGCGUGUAGCAGUGAAAUGCGUAGAUAUGCGGAGGAACACCGAUGGCGAAGGCAAUCCCCUGGGCCUGUACUGACGCUCAUGCACGAAAGCGUGGGGAGCAAACAGGAUUAGAUACCCUGGUAGUCCACGCCCUAAACGAUGUCAACUGGUUGUUGGGUCUUAACUGACUCAGUAACGAAGCUAACGCGUGAAGUUGACCGCCUGGGGAGUACGGCCGCAAGGUUG
rnacentral:rRNA from 1 species